rnacentral:SRP_RNA from 1 species
CUGUGGGCUAGGUUGGAGUGUCAGCGGUACUCUGUUGCCUGAAAUCCGCUUUAUGCAGGAACCGAAGCCUUUGAAGGCGAGUUCAUUUCUUGGAAGAGAAUCCUUAUUCAAUCUAUGAACUUUCGUCCCGAAGAUUAGGCUUUAAAGCCAAUCCGCCAGGUUCGGAAGAAAGCAACGGUAACUCUAUUGCUUAAUGCUUUUGGGAUUCACGGAAGGAAGAAAGAGUAAGGGCAAUUCUUUUUCAGGAAUUGAAUUCCACUUUAAGGCACGCCCACAC